CUUGGAAGGGGUAACUCAGGCACAUAACAGGGGCUAUAAAGCUGAAGCAUCCCUUUAGAACGUUUUCUCACCACAAAAUAUGGUAGUGAGAGGAAGUCAAGUCGCGGGUAGUGAGAGGAUGGAACUAGGUGAAACUGGGUUUACAUUCUGCUAAUUUCUCAUCGAUGAAACAUCUGAUCACAUUUUAUGUUCCCGAAACUAUUUUACCCCUAUAUUGUUUUAUGUCCUCCGGAUUCAAGAAGAAAGAUGACGAGUCCAACGGUGAUCCAUUGAUUUCGUCACCCUAAUCUUGGCCAUCCCCACAAGGCAGUGUAUAUUGUUCCAAACACCUGACAGAGGAGUGCUGCCAAGCUGACCAAGGAGAAGAAAGCCUUCCAAGAGUCCCACAAGCAGAUACUGGAUGACUGGUAAGGAGAAAAGGACAAAGUCAACAUUCUGACCAAGGCCACAGCAAGAUUGAGGAUGAGCAGUCCCUGGGAGCUCAGCUCCAGAAAGAGAUCUAGGAACUCCAGGCCCAUAUUGAGGAGCUGGAGGAGGAAAUUGAGGCUGAGCGUGAUGCCAGGACUAAGGUUCAGAAGCAGAUGGUCGAUCUCUCCAGGGAACAUGGAGAUCAGUGAGAAGCUGGAGUUGCUGUUUUAAAUUGAGAGAACCAAAAGUGUUAACUACAUGAUUCCAUGGUUGAAAAUCACAGGUGGCUACAGAGAUCAAACACAGGAGGAGUUUGGGAUCUUCAUCAAGCGGGUGUAAAAAAAUAAAAUUAAAAUAAAAACUCUUGAA